rnacentral:rRNA from 1 species
GACGAACGCUGGCGGCGUGCUUAACACAUGCAAGUCGAACGGAAAGGCCUGUCCUUCCUUGUGUUGGACGGGUACUCGAGUGGCGAACGGGUGAGUAACACGUGAGUGAUCUGCCCCCAACUUGGGUAUAAGCCUGGGAAACUGGGUCCAAUCCCCGAUAGGACUGCAGGGUGGUGCCUGUGGUGGAAAACGAUUUUCUAGUGGUUGGGGAUGAGCUCGCGGCCUAUCAGCUUGUUGGCGGGGUAAUGGCCUACGAAGGCGGCGACGGGUAGCCGGCCGGAGAGGGUGGACGGCCACAUUGAGACUGAGUUACGGCCCAGACUCGAACGGGAGGCAGCAGUGGGGAAUAUUGGACAAUGGGCGGAAUCCUGAUGCAGCGACGCCGCGUAGGGGAUGACGGCCUUCGGGUGGUAAACUCCUUUCGACCGCGAGGAAGCCGCCUGGUUGGAAGGGUGGUGACGGUAGUGGUAGAAGAAGCACCGGCUAACUACGUG